CUUCGACGGUAGUGGUCUCGGAAGCGCCAAAGCCAACCUUAUUGUGAUUGGCUCUCAGCGGUACCUGAAACAGAAAUGAACCAAUCAGAUUUAAAAAAAAAUACGUUAACUCGACAACGCAAGUAUGAGUUACUUUGAAGACAAGACAAAGGGAUUUUGAAAAAAAAAAAUGUAAUGCCACCUCCUCGGGGUAUCUAUGCAAAUCCUCUUCUUGGGAGCCAGACGCGAUAAGUGUCUACGCCGUAUGCUGGUAAAAGUUAUCGCAACCACUUGAACAAAGUCUACCCCGAGAGCAAAGCCAAGCUUGGUUAUGAUUUGGUCAAAAGUUUUCACCAAGUGGCACGAACAAAAGCCAAACCCGCAGACGAUCUGGCGUUUCACUCAGCCACCCGUCAUAAAUUAAACCAUGCUUAUAUAAGCCAGCAGAGAAAAUACAAGGGAGAACAUCUUAAUAAGCAUGUCAUACCCUCAAGUAGACAGCGCGCACGGAUUAUCCUUAGCAUUUGCAAACGACGGUUAAUACCCGCCAAGUACAGCAGCGCCGCCAUGCGGCGAGGAACGAAACUAGAUUUGAAUCGCUCCAGCAAAUCCUUUGGUCGCAUGGACAGGUAUGAACAAUGCCACAUCCAGCCAGUCGAGAUUCAGAGGUAAUCCCAGACACAGACGGUGAACUUUUGCCUUGACUCAGGGAUGAGAGGAAAUCCAUUCUCUCUUUGUCUUAUCACUAAAAGCUCCGAAAGCGCUUGAACUUUUCGGUCGCGCCGACGUCGCCGCCAUUACAGCCGCUCGAUGUAUAUCCUUCUCUCCGUAUUUAGGCCAAGUGUCUACCCGGCUGCUGCCGUGUAUACAUAUACAAAUGAGAAUCCGCCGUCAUCACAGAAACUCCGGACACUUGACUUACUUUGCUGAAAAAGGCAGACAGCCCUGAAAGUUUCCUAUUCCGCCAUCUUGACUCGAGAGCUUACUGUAAAUUCCGCCAGGUUCGUUAAAGGGCGCUUCGCUCGUAUUGUUCGAAUACAUGAAAAUCACAACGCUCGGCUCUUUGACCGUCAAUUCUUACGUGACUCGGUCGCGUCAGCCUUUAACGAACUAACGAAUAAACCUUCGUUCUCGUCAUUUUUAUCUAUUAAAAUGAUUUGAGAAUCGGAUCGUGACGUUGCAAGAUGCCCAAGCGUCCAGACCGCAUAACGAUCUUUUUAUUGACAAGUAUACGACAAGUUAAGGAGUCAACGCCCACGAGUUUCAAGCUUUCGUAAUGGUGAUGCAUCUGUCUGACUGUCUAGACCACUUAAUGCCGUUGUCUAUGUCUCCCGUAGCCUUUCUCGAGCCACAGAAAAAUACGAAGGCUGGAGAAUAACGCGCGAACGUCUGUUCCCCUGGAAAAAAACCGAUUGCGCAACGCGUGCUAACCUACAAACCAAACAAUAGAAAGAGUUGGACAAGCAAGUGUUUAAAUAAACAACUGCAUCAUAGAGUAACGAAAUAAAAUCACUAAUAGAGAUAAGAUCGACCAUCAGUUAUAAUAGAAAAAAACAAUAAAACUCUAAUAAAAAUCCGAGCGCUGCUAUUCCAAUGAAAAUUCAUAAAGACAAUUUUCAACCAGCCCAGAUCCCAUCGAUAGCCGAUAGACUAACUAAUAACAAACUGCACAAGAGAACGACGACUUCCAAUGGACACGAGAUAUAAUAAACGACGCUUCCAGCCGGUACGGGAUUGUCUGGCCAAUGAUCGUUUUCGGGUAUUCUGAUUCCCUCGUCCCUCAACACCUCCGGUUACCUUCUCCUCCCACUCGGGGUCUGCCGGUUUAAAGUGACGAGGGUAGAAAAUAGGCAAAUAGGCCAGAACGACUAGACGGCCAGGCGGUGGCAAUGCACUGCGAUUACCGAUUAGCUACGGAGACACAGGACUACGCUUACACGUACUACAAAGCGUGCGUAUCUUUCGUACACGUAUAACGUAUUACGUAUCACAGCCGUGCACGACGCAAUAUUAUUAGCGCUCGUUGACGAAGUAGCGACGGUUUGAAUUCGCAGUAUGAAAGACGGAUGACGCCACGAUGAAUUGGCAUUUCUGUAUAAUUAAUAAAACGCCCGCAUCAAAAAUUAAGACAACAUACGUGAGCACGGAUAAAUUAAUUUUUAGGUUAGACUUCAAAUGAUACGUCGUACAGGCGAAAUGUCCUCUUGGUUUGGAUUUCACCCUCUGGGAAAUUAUAAUUUAAUAAACUGUACAUAAGUAUAGUCGAUAUAUAUAUAUAUAGGUAUACACAGGUAUAGGCAUCGAGAGUCUGCCGCAGACAAACAUAUUGAGAAUUCAUAGGAAUUCCUUCCCAUUGUGGAGUGGGUGUCCCAGACGGGUUGUGCCAGUUUGAAAGUUUGUCCCGGUUUGGUACGUCCGACGCCGACGGGACUGCGGAUUCGUUUGGAGAGACACGCAGAGACACACAGCGGGACAAACGCGCAACGUGUCGGCAUUGACAGGUUGAAUAUGGCGGGACGUAGCAGCGACGCCCAUUGGCUUAAAAUAAAAAGUUUUAAUCGCGCUCGAUGUGAAAAGGGGCCAACUGUUUCAUAGAUCGAAAAAAUUUUGAAAAUUCGAGAAAAAAAUUUACUCUCUUUUUUUUUCAUAACUACUAGCCUUCACCAUCCAAUAUUUUUUUUCUACUUAUGAAUAACGACCAAUCACUUCGCCGACGUUCAGUGCACAUGCACCUGCAUCGUUAUUAACGCGCGCGCGAUUCCCGUGUGUUUGCACAGCAUUAAUUAAUGUUUGGUCGUCUAGACUCACUCUCUCUCACUCU